GACGAACGCUGGCGGCGUGCUUAACACAUGCAAGUCGAACGGAAAGGCGCUGCUUUUGUGGGGUGCUCGUGUGGCGAACGGGUGAGUAACACGUGAGUAACCUGCCCUUGACUUUCGGAUAACUUCAGGAAACUGGGGCUAAUACCGGAUAGGAGCUCCUGAUGCAUGGUGUGGGUUGGAAAGUUUCGGCGGUUCGGGAUGGACUCGCGGGUUAUGAGCUUGUUGGUGGAGUAGGGGCUUACCAAGGCUGUGACGGAUAGCCGGCCUGGGAGCGGGAACGGCGUCAUGGGGACUGCGAGAGGCAGCAGUAGGCUAUGGGAGGCAAUGGGCGAGAGUAUGGCGCAGCGAGGCGGCGUGUGAUGCGGAGGUCCUGGGAGCGGAAUGACCGCUUACGGGGGAUGAACCGCUGUCGCCUGAGACGUAGCGUGAGUGACGGUAAUGAGUAAAGAAGCACCGGCUAACUACGUG
rnacentral:rRNA from 1 species